UCAGGUAGUAGUGGGUGUAGCGUACCUACUAGCCUACGACGGGUACGGGUUGUGAGAGCAAGAGCCCGGAGAUGGAUUCUGAGACACGAAUCCAGGCCCUACGGGGUGCAGCAGGCGCGAAAACUUUACAAUGCUGGAAACAGCGAUAAGGGAACCUCGAGUGCCAGGUUACAAAUCUGGCUGUCGUGAUGCCUAAAAAAGCAUUGCAUAGCAAGGGCCGGGCAAGACCGGUGCCAGCCGCCGCGGUAACACCGGCGGCUCGAGUGGUAACCGUUAUUAUUGGGUCUAAAGGGUCUGUAGCCGGCCGGAUAAGUCUCUUGGGAAAUCUGGCAGCUUAACUGUCAGGCUUUCAGGAGAUACUGUCUGGCUCGAGGCCGGGAGAGGUGAGAGGUACUUCAGGGGUAGGGGUGAAAUCUUGUAAUCCUUGAAGGACCACCAGUGGCGAAGGCGUCUCACCAGAACGGACCUGACGGCAAGGGACGAAAGCUAGGGGCACGAACCGGAUUAGAUACCCGGGUAGUCCUAGCCGUAAACGAUACUCGCUAGGUGUCAGCCACGGUGCGACCGUGGUCGGUGCCGUAGGGAAGCCGUGAAGCGAGCCACCGGGGAAGUACGGCCGCAAGGCUGAAACUUAAAGGAAUUGGCGGGGGAGCAC
rnacentral:rRNA from 1 species